AGAAGAACUCGCUACCGGUAAAGCACCUUUGUGGCCCACCCAAGAAUCAGAUCUAGGAUGGCGUGCUGUGAUGGCUGAAUCCACCUCCCGGUGAGCUGGAAUUGGUCCUACUAGCCAGAUGGCAACUAAGGCUUCCGAUAAAGAACGUGCUCCUCCUUGCUAGAUCCCCCACCUUUGUCAUGUCUGUCCUUCUCCACCACCAGAUCCAUCGAGGUCCGGGCAACAUUAAGCACCUCCUCCUUGGAUCAGAUAAUUCAAGUCAUCGUCAUCACUCGCUCUGGUAGCGAAAGAGUUGGGAGUGGCAGGCGCCAUGGAUGGAGGCUCUGGUGCUAUUGGCCUAGACAGGGGCUUUGUUUGCCAUCGACGUCUACCGAUGUGCCGUCCGUUUGACGUUUCAAGCAUUGUUCACCGUCGGAGUCCGCCGACGUGUUGUUCUUUCAUCGUUCCUACCAAGGUUCAUGUUCGCAUGCUUAUUUUUCUUCAUGUUAGCCGUUCUCAUCUAAUCACAUAUCACCAGAACUUUUCCUUUUUGCGGUGUCUGUACUUGUUUCUGUUACUUGGCUAUUGUUCGAGGUAAGUUCUUUCCUACGAUGCUCCUGCUGCCUUCUCUUUCUUUCUGCAGGGUUUGUUAUGUCUGGUUUGCUUUCUGCCUCUUCUCGUCACUUGUCAUCUUUUUUCUUUCCUUGUCUUGGUUUUAGGUCCUUUUAGCAGUUGGUGUUUGUCCAUUGUGCAUCUUCUUGUUUCGGCGUUCUUAUGUACUUUUGUUUUGGUUGGGUGUUGGCUAUUUGCAUGUAUUUCUUCUUGUUCUUGUUGUUCAUGUUUUUGACAAGCUCGUUCUAUAUGCACUGUGCCGGGGUUAUUGUUUAGUGCCCUUUUUUGCAUUGCUUGUUCUUUGCAUGAACGGAUGGUAUUAAAUAACUUUCAAGUUUGUGGUCAAGGCCCCUGCCUUCUCAGAAUCUUCAUUCAAGAGUGAUUGAAGAGGUUUUGAAGAAAUUAUCCAGGCCGAGGAAUACCAAACACGACUUCGUAAACGCCAUCAUGGCUCUUUUUGGAUGGCACGACAAGCCGACAGAGGAUUUAGGGCACGCAAGUGCGGGGGCAUGCACUUUGUGGGCCGUUGAUCUGCGCCAAGAUUCGCACAUAUGUUUGUGUAUAUACUCUUUUUGUGUUGUAUAACACUUCAUAUAUGUCUCUAAUGUUAUGUAUAAACCAUAUCUCUGUUUUUCCGUGAGCCAGAUAACUGUUCGUGUGGGGUAUAUACGGUAAGUCAAUCUGCACAUAUACAAGUCCCAAUGAGAGCGAUCCAUUCAGAGUACAGAUAGCUAACUCUUCUUCCUCUGUUCUUCUUCGUUGCUAUCUCUCUCUUUCUAGUUCACUCUCAUCUUACAGGAAAUAGAAAGUAAAAUUGGUUAUUACCUGAAUCUGCUGAAAUAGAUACGCCGUUGAUCUGCGCCAAGAUUCGUACAUAUGUUUGUGUAUAUACUCUUUUUGUGUUGUAUAACACUUCAUAUAUGUCUCUAAUGUUAUGUAUAAACCAUAUCUCUGUUUUUCCGUGAGCCAGAUAACUGUUCGUGUGGGGUAUAUACGGUAAGUCAAUCUGCACAUAUACAAGUCCCAAUGAGAGCGAUCCAUUCAGAGUACAGAUAGCUAGCUCUUCUUCCUCUAUUCUUCUUCGUUGCUAUCUCUCUCUUUCUAGUUCACUCUCAUCUUACAAGAAAUAGAAAGUAAAAUUGGUUAUUACCUGAAUCUUUUGAAAUAGAUACAAAUUAUCAGCAAUACAAGUGGAGUUCUAUCGGAAAGUUGGUCUUAAAGGUUAGUUAUAUUUGCAUAUUUCUUCUUGAUAACUUUUUGUUGUUGUACCACAGUUGAAAUCUAUAAUAUUUCAUCGAAUGUCCUCGUUGUUUUUGUGUUUUGCAAACUGAUGAUCCAAUUCGUUUGUUUGGUUUCUUCAAUCGAUGUAUUGGAUACAUUAACUAUGUUUUCUCUCAAAUACUAUCAUUUUAAAAACUUCGAUGGAAAUAGUACGGUUAGCAGCGAUACAAUGUAUAUAUGAAAUUUUUUUGGGUUCAGUUAUUGAGGAUGAAACUUAAUCUAUUUAACUUUUAUUUAUUAUAUUUGUUUUACUGCAUGAGUCCUAAAAUAUAUUGACUGUAUUAACUUGAAAUCCUACAUAAUUGUGUUUGCUGAGACAUGCUACGAUUCCGAUUGUUACAUGGGGCAUAUUAUGGUUGCAUAUGCUGUGAUGUAUGUAAUGUACAUAACAAAGCAUGUUCUUAAGUUACAGGGAACAAAACGUAAUCGAUUCAAGUUCUAGUUAGUUGAUUUUUUCACUUCAUUACCACUAAAACAUGUUUCGUGUAUGUGACAUGCUACAGUUAGUAGCGCUAUGUUUAUAUAUGUAAGAAUUUUGGAUUAAGUUACAUUCGUCAUACUUAAUUUUGUUGUCUUAAGUUAAAAGUUCACAUGGAUGAAACUUAAUAUAUUAAGCUUGCGAUUUAAUAAUCUGUUUUAGUGCAUAAAAAAUAGAAUAUUGCGAUUUAAUAAUCUAUAUCAGUGCAUACCAAGUAGAAUAUGAUGCUCUUGCUAUCAAGUUAUUAGGUUAGAAACUUAAUCGAUUCGAGUAAUACAAGUGUGUAAGCAUCAUUAUAUCACGUGUGAAACAUUGAAAGUUAUUGUUAUGCCCAUCUGUUGUACUUCAGUGAGGUAAUAAACAUAAAGAUUUAUUUAUGUAUUGUAAGCAACGUAUUAAAUAGUAAUAAUUAACUUAGUAAUUAUUCUAAAAACUAUCAGUGAUGUUAGUGUUAAUAAGCUAUGUCAGUUGUGUUUAAGACAACUUACUAAGUGAAUUCAUGUUUUCAUCUUACAUUUUAUUAGGUUGUUCAAAGGACAUGUCAUCUGGAUACAGUGAUGUUGGGAAAAGAGAAAUUUCUGUUGCAGCAACCAAAUAUCCGAAUUGUGUUUUAAAGUCUAAAUUUCUAUCCCACCACGUCCUUCAAUUGAUGUUCAAAUAGCAUCCGAGGUAAAAAGUAUUUAUCAACAUAACUUAUAUGCAGUCUUCGGCAAUGAUGUUAUUGACAAGUUUUUUCGUAUCAGAUGAAUUAUCUAUAUGGAACUAACUAGAAAAUGAAAAUAUAGUGCAUGCUAAUAUAUUCCAAAAAUUCUGAUCAUAAUGCUAAUCCAGUACUUAUGUUCAACAUAUCAGAAGAUAAAUAAAUUAUUAUUUUGAAGUGUUGUCAGAGUUAUAAUGAUUAACUAUUUUGUUAUUUAACAUUGCUUCUAUACUCACUAAACAUCGUAGUACAAGUAGUUGACCAGUACUUCUAUUGUAGUUCAUAAAGUAGUGAAUAAGUAUGUGCUUCAUACUUCAGUCAUGUCAAGUCGUAUUGAAGAUAAUCGGGAGAAAUUUGCGUUACAUACAUGAAGUAAAUUGUCAUCAGAAAGGGACUGAAAGUAAUGGACAACACACCAUCGAUUUUGGACAUUUUAUCAAUAUUCAAGUUAUAUGAAAAGAAGUUAAAUGUGUUCUAUUUCAAUCAAAUAUUUUAAAUGUUUCCUCAUGGUUGGAUCUGCCAUCAGAAAAAUUGUUCCGGUUUCUUGAGGAACUGAUAUUAAAGACAAGUAAAGAACAACUUGACAGGUAUGAAUAGCUAAAGGUACUCUUGUAUCUUUUUAUGGGAAAUAUUUUCAGACUAACAUUUACUAUUUAAAUUUGUUUUAGUGCAUGGAUAAAAGAUUAUAUUCCCGCUAUAUAAAUAUCACUGGAAGAAGUAUUGCAGAGCAACUGAUUAGCAGACAAUGUAUGGAUCACGAGGUUUAUAAUAUAUGUGUUCAAAGGCUUAAUCAGUUGGAUGAUGAGCAUCCAAAACAUGGUGAUUUAUGACAAAGUAGGAUAUUUCCUAAACCAGAGUUUGUUGUAAGCAUCUUUUCUGCAUUCUUAUUUUAUAUAACAAGAUAACUGUUGGAAAUAUGCCCUAGAGGCAAUA